GAAGGUAUAGCUCAGUGGCAGAGCGCGUGACUGGCGUGCACAAGGUCCUGAGUUCAAUCCCCAGUGCCUCCG
rfam:Camelus ferus unplaced genomic scaffold scaffold2798, whole genome shotgun sequence.